GGUUAAGCGACUAAGCGUACACGGUGGAUGCCUAGGCAAUCAGAGGCGAUGAAGGACGUGCUAAUCUGCGAUAAGCGUCGGUAAGGUGAUAUGAACCGUUACAACCGACGAUUUCCGAAUGGGGAAACCCAGUGCAAUUCGUUGCACUAUCGUUUGAUGAAUACAUAGUCAAACGAAGCGAACCGGGGGAACUGAAACAUCUCAGUACCCCGAGGAAAAGAAAUCAACCGAGAUUCCCCUAGUAGCGGCGAGCGAACGGGGAGCAGCCCAGAGUCUUAAUCAGCAUUAGCAUCAGGAGAACGGUCUGGAAAGGCCGGCAGUAAAGGGUGAUAGCCCCGUAUCCGAAGGUGUUGGUGUUGUGAACUCGACGAGUAGGGCGGGACACGUGUUAUCCUGUCUGAAUAUGGGGGGACCAUCCUCCAAGGCUAAAUACUCCUGAUUGACCGAUAGUGAACCAGUACCGUGAGGGAAAGGCGAAAAGAACCCCGGCGAGGGGAGUGAAAUAGAACCUGAAACCGUGUACGUACAAGCAGUGGGAGCCUUGAUUUAUCAGGGUGACUGCGUACCUUUUGUAUAAUGGGUCAGCGACUUAUAUUCUGUAGCAAGGUUAACCGUAUAGGGGAGCCGUAGGGAAACCGAGUCUUAACUGGGCGAAUGAGUUGCAGGGUAUAGACCCGAAACCCGGUGAUCUAGCCAUGGGCAGGUUGAAGGUUGGGUAACACUAACUGGAGGACCGAACCGACUAAUGUUGAAAAAUUAGCGGAUGACUUGUGGCUGGGGGUGAAAGGCCAAUCAAACCGGGAGAUAGCUGGUUCUCCCCGAAAGCUAUUUAGGUAGCGCCUCGUGAACUCAUCUUCGGGGGUAGAGCACUGUUUCGACUAGGGGGUCAUCCCGACUUACCAACUCGAUGCAAACUACGAAUACCGAAGAAUGUUAUCACGGGAGACACACGGCGGGUGCUAACGUUCGUCGUGAAGAGGGAAACAACCCAGACCGCCAGCUAAGGUCCCAAAGUCAUAGUUAAGUGGGAAACGAAGUGGGAAGGCUCAGACAGCCAGGAUGUUGGCUUAGAAGCAGCCAUCAUUUAAAGAAAGCGUAAUAGCUCACUGGUCGAGUCGGCCUGCGCGGAAGAUGUAACGGGGCUAAACUAUGCACCGAAGCUGCGGCAGCGAUAUGUAAAUAUUGUUGGGUAGGGGAGCGUUCUGUAAGCCUGUGAAGGUGUACUGUGAGGUAUGCUGGAGGUAUCAGAAGUGCGAAUGCUGACAUAAGUAACGAUAAUGCGGGUGAAAAACCCGCACGCCGGAAGACCAAGGGUUCCUGUCCAACGUUAAUCGGGGCAGGGUGAGUCGACCCCUAAGGCGAGGCAGAAAUGCGUAGUCGAUGGGAAACGGGUUAAUAUUCCCGUACUGGUGAUAAUUGCGAUGGGGGGACGGAGAAGGCUAGGCUAUCCGGGCGACGGUUGUCCCGGUUUAAGGAUGUAGGCAGGUGAAUUAGGCAAAUCCGGUUCACUACAUGCUGAGGUCCGACGACGAGUCACUACGGUGAUGAAGUAGCUCAUGCCCCGCUUCCAGGAAAAGCCUCUAAGCUCUAGAUUAUCAUUAAUCGUACCCCAAACCGACACAGGUGGUCAGGUAGAGAAUACUCAGGCGCUUGAGAGAACUCGGGUGAAGGAACUAGGCAAAAUGGUGCCGUAACUUCGGGAGAAGGCACGCUGGCGCUAGGUGAAGUCCCUCGCGGAUGGAGCUGAAGCCAGUCGCAGAUACCAGCUGGCUGCAACUGUUUAUUAAAAACACAGCACUGUGCAAACACGAAAGUGGACGUAUACGGUGUGACGCCUGCCCGGUGCUGGAAGGUUAAUUGAUGGGGUUAUCCGUAAGGAGAAGCUCUUGAUCGAAGCCCCAGUAAACGGCGGCCGUAACUAUAACGGUCCUAAGGUAGCGAAAUUCCUUGUCGGGUAAGUUCCGACCUGCACGAAUGGCGUAAUGAUGGCCAGGCUGUCUCCACCCGAGACUCAGUGAAAUUGAACUCGCUGUGAAGAUGCAGUGUACCCGCGGCAAGACGGAAAGACCCCGUGAACCUUUACUAUAGCUUGACACUGAACAUUGAGCCUUGAUGUGUAGGAUAGGUGGGAGGCUUUGAAG
rnacentral:rRNA from 1 species